GACGAACGCUGGCGGCGUGCUUAACACAUGCAAGUCGAACGGAAAGGCCCUGCUUUUGUGGGGUGCUCGAGUGGCGAACGGGUGAGUAACACGUGAGUAACCUGCCCUUGACUUUGGGAUAACUUCAGGAAACUGGGGCUAAUACCGGAUAGGAGCUCCUGCUGCAUGGUGGGGGUUGGAAAGUUUCGGCGGUUGGGGAUGGACUCGCGGCUUAUCAGCUUGUUGGUGGGGUAGUGGCUUACCAAGGCUUUGACGGGUAGCCGGCCUGAGAGGGUGACCGGCGACAUUGGGACUGAGAUACGGACCAGACUGGUACGGGAGGCAGCAGGGGGGAGUAUUACACAGUGGGCGGAAGCCUGAUGCAGCAGCGCCGCGUGCGGGAUGACGGCCUUCGGGUUGUAAACCGCUUUCGCCUGUGACGAAGAGUGAGUGACGGUAAUGGGUAAAGAAGCACCGGCUAACUACGUG
rnacentral:rRNA from 1 species